UACAGAGGGUGCAAGCGUUGCUCGGAAUCAUUGGGCGUAAAGGGUUGGUAGGUGGUCUCAUUUGUCAGGGGUGAAAUCCUUGGGCUUAACUCAAGAAGUGCCCUUGAAACGGUGAGACUGGAGUCUUGGAGAGGGUCGCGGAAUUCCCGGUGUAGCGGUGAAAUGCGCAGAUAUCAGGAGGAACACCGGUGGCGAAGGCGGGUCUCUGGGCCGAUACUGACGCUGAGGAGCGAAAGCGUGGGGAGCGAACAGG
rnacentral:rRNA from 1 species